AUUGAACGCUGGCGGCAGGCCUAACACAUGCAAGUCGAGCGAGCGUCGGACACGUGUGAAAAGUAUGGGGAAUGCCCCAUAGAGGGGGAGAACAACAGGAAACGGUAGCUAAUAACCCAUAGUCUCUGAUAACACAUAUGGGAUUGGCUAGUCGGUGAGGUAAUGGCGCACCUAGGCGACGAUCCCUCGCUGGUCUGAGAGGAUGACCAGCCACACUGGAACUGAGACACGGCCCAGCUUCCUACGGAGGCAGCAGUGGGGAAUAUUGCACAAUGGGCGCAAGCCUGAUGCAGCCAUGCCGCGUGUAUGAAGAAGGCCCUAGGGUUGUAAAGUACUUUCAGUCGGGAGGCGUUUCCGACAGAAGAAGCACCGGCUAACUCCGUGCCAGCAGCCGCGGUAAUAC
rnacentral:rRNA from 1 species